GGAUCUAUGUGUUUAAGAGUGUGAGCUGGAAAGUGGGCUGGAAAGUGACCUGCGUUCAGGGGAUCUAUGUGUUUGAGAGUGUGAGCUGGAAGGUGGGCUGGAAAGUGAGCUGCGUUCAGGGGAUCUAUGUGUUUAAGAGUGUGAGCUGGAAAGUGGGCUGGAAAGUGAGCUGCGUUCAGGGGAUCUAUGUGUUUGAGAGUGUGAGCUGGAAAGUGGUCUGGAAAGUGAGCUGCGUUCAGGGGAUCUAUGUGUUUAAGAGUGUGAGCUGGAAAGUGGGCUGGAAAGUGAGCUGCGUUCAGGGGAUCUAUGUGUUUGAGAGUGUGAGCUGGAAAGUGGUCUGGAAAGUGAGCUGCGUUCAGGGGAUCUAUGUGUUUGAGAGUGUGAGCUGGAAAGUGGUCUGGAAAGUGAGCUGCGUUCAGGGGAUCUAUGUGUUUAAGAGUGUGAG
ensembl:lncRNA